rnacentral:rRNA from 1 species
CGUCUUGAUACUCGGACCAAGGAGUGUAGCAAAUAUGCGAGUCAUUGAGUGUUGAAAACUGAAAGGCGAAAUGAAAGUAAAUGUUGAUAUGCGACCCGUCACUUUGUGGCGGCGCAGCAUAGCCCCAUUCCAGCUGCUUGCAGCGGGGUGGAGGAAGAGCAUAUUUGCUGUGACCCGAAAGAUGGUGAACUAUGCCUGAGCAGGACGAAGUCAGAGGAAACUCUGAUGGAAGUCCGAAGCGGUUCUGACGUGCAAAUCGAUCGUCUGACUUGGGUAUAGGGGCGAAAGACUAAUCGAACCAUCUGGUAGCUGGUUCCUUCCGAGC